rnacentral:piRNA from 6 species
CGAGGCCCUGUAAUUGGAAUGAGUCCAC